rnacentral:rRNA from 1 species
UACGAAGGGGCUAGCGUUGUUCGGAUUUACUGGGCGUAAAGCGCACGUAGGCGGAUCGUUAAGUCGGGGGUGAAAUCCUGGAGCUCAACUCCAGAACUGCCUUCGAUACUGGCGAUCUCGAGUCCGGAAGAGGUGAGUGGAACUCCUAGUGUAGAGGUGGAAUUCGUAGAUAUUAGGAAGAACACCAGUGGCGAAGGCGGCUACCUGGACCAGCACUGACACUGAGGCACGAAAGCGUGGGGAGCAAACAGG